AUUGCCACAAUGUCUGGAAAUACGGACAGCAGGAUUUUUUACAGGUGCAGUAAAAAACAAUAGAUCUGGAUCGUCAUGCUACAUGACACUACGCUGCACGUUUAUGGAAUACCCUCGAAACUCCCAUGAAUGCUUAUCCAAUGCCAUAAGAAGUGCACCUAUAAAAGACAAAUUAAAGAAUUAGCCUUCACUAAGCAUUCUGGAUCGUGAAGUAAAUGAUGACUGCUUACAACUCCUCACUGUAUUGCAUGCACUCAUAAAUUAGCAGCACUUCUGAGAGCUGGCCAACACAUAAUUUACAUUGCUCAUGUUCUUUAAUGCAUGUAACAUUUUCCGCUAUUGCAUUUAGUAAGCACUUCCCCCCACCGCACCAUGAUUGCCAGAAAGCCCUGAGGUGUAAGAUUGUCACAGACGUGCCCGAAACCAAGCCCAACCUCGAACUACGAGGAGAAACGAAAAACAGCCUCUCACCCCAUGCGGCCACCUACCUCCUUCCAGUGUUGUAAGCACAAAGUCAAAACAUAGCCAGUUCCAGACACCCGCAAGCCGGACAAAGUGUGCACCCAUUCGUUGCUCCAUUGAUGCCUCGUAGUUCACCUUUAAGCAUGUGCUUCCAAGACAACGAGUAUAACAUUGUCCCCUGCCACUCCUGAACCCGUGCAUUGUGAGCUGCACACAUUUCCACACUGACUCUCACAUGCAUCAAUUAAGAGCUUUCCUUCACUGUUUUCAUACUUCCUAAAUAUGCAGUAAUGUUUCUGCAGUAGACUGAGGAAUGCACAUUUGAGGCCACUGAUGCAAAACAAAAGAAAGCGCACGAGAAAUAAAAUGAGAAGAAAAAAAAAAAGCAGAUGCCACGCUAACAACAAAUACAUAGGAUGUGAACACAAAAGAUGAACAGCUGCGCAGUUGUGCUGUAAGGGCAGACAGAUCACAGCGCAGCUGCGGUUCGUGCCUGGCAGCAGACGCCGCCGCCGACAACAGACGACACAAAAGAUGGCCAGAUGGAGGUACUAUAUGCAAGUGACAACAGGAAAGCUCCAUGAAGAGAAACUCCAUGCUACUAAAGUUCUCUGAGCGUCUUGACUCCGAAGCACGACCAUCUAAGACUGUGUGAAAAAGCUAGAAAUGAGUGCAUCUGCAAUGACAGCAUGCAAAACGUUUUGGAAGACCAAAGUCUGCAACAGCGUUGCACGUUGUCAACAUGAUCCUGGAAAAAAUUAAUUACAGCUCACGACGAUCUACGUGUCAAGUGCCCCAAAAUGAAGGAACUUCCGACUAUUCUGUCAGAAUUGGAAAAAAGCUGCUCUGUUCCCUUACAAGGUUCAGAAAGUUUGUGGACUGACUGAGCGCGAGGGACCAGAGUUGCUUAAGUUCUUCAGCAGCGCAGCAAGUCACCAAAGCAUUUUUUUCUACAGGCAAGGCCGUUAUCACCAAUGGCCCCUUCAUAAACCCCGAAAACGAUAGCCUAUUGGUUACAACCAGUGAUGUUUUCCUUGCAGCGAGCCUUUUUACACCUGUCUAAGGCAGACAAGCCCAUCGGCAGCGUUUUCUUUUUCUUUUCACACAACUUCUGAGAUUUUCUCGCCAACCAUUUAUUUAGCAUUUUUUUCUUAAAGGUAGCCGUAAAGCAGCCUUUAAAUCUCGAAAAGCUUGUUUUCAACCAGGCUCCAGAGAUGUUGAGAGGGUGUUCAUGCAGUUUGUUUUGACAUCAAUUAGUGAUAUUGUAUUUAAAACUGACCCCAAUUUUCCCAGAUAGUUUGUCUCUUUUUCAUGCAUCAGUACAUGCGUGGUACCUAACUAUACCAAAACAAAUAUUCUUGCUGUAAAUAUAUGUGUCUGCGUUUGACUAUUAA